GAUGAACGCUGGCGGCGUGCCUAAUACAUGCAAGUCGAGCGAACGGACGAGAAGCUUGCUUCUCUGAUGUUAGCGGCGGAAGGGUGAGUAACACGUGGAUAACCUACCUAUAAGACUGGGAUAACUUCGGGAAACCGGAGCUAAUACCGGAUAAUAUUUUGAACCGCAUGGUUCAAAAGUGAAAGACGGUCUUGCUGUCACUUAUAGAUGGUUCCGCGCUGCAUUAGCUAGUUGGUAAGGUAACGGCUUACCAAGGCAACGAUGCAUAGCCGACCUGAGAGGGUGAUCGGCCACACUGGAACUGAGACACGGUCCAGACUCCUACGGGAGGCAGCAGUAGGGAAUCUUCCGCAAUGGGCGAAAGCCUGACGGAGCAACGCCGCGUGAGUGAUGAAGGUCUUCGGAUCGUAAAACUCUGUUAUUAGGGAAGAACAUAUGUGUAAGUAACUGUGCACAUCUUGACGGUACCUAAUCAGAAAGCCACGGCUAACUACGUG
rnacentral:rRNA from 1 species